rnacentral:rRNA from 1 species
UGGGGAAUAUUGGACAAUGGGCGAAAGCCUGAUCCAGCCAUGCCGCGUGUGUGAAGAAGGCCUUUUGGUUGUAAAGCACUUUAAGUGGGGAGGAAAAGCUUAUGGUUAAUACCCAUAAGCCCUGACGUUACCCACAGAAUAAGCACCGGCUAACUCUGUGCCAGCAGCCGCGGUAAUACAGAGGGUGCAAGCGUUAAUCGGAAUUACUGGGCGUAAAGCGCGCGUAGGUGGUUAUUUAAGUCAGAUGUGAAAGCCCCGGGCUUAACCUGGGAACUGCAUCUGAUACUGGAUAACUAGAGUAAGUGAGAGGGGAGUAGAAUUCCAGGUGUAGCGGUGAAAUGCGUAGAGAUCUGGAGGAAUACCGAUGGCGAAGGCAGCUCCCUGGCAUCAUACUGACACUGAGGUGCGAAAGCGUGGGUAGCAAACAGGAUUAGAUACCCUGGUAGUCCACGCCGUAAACGAUGUCUACCAGUCGUUGGGUCUUUUAAAGACUUAGUGACGCAGUUAACGCAAUAAGUAGACCGCCUGGGGAGUACGGCCGCAAGGUUA